rnacentral:piRNA from 1 species
UCAAUGCUUACAGUUUAUAAG